ACAGAGCGCUGCCGCAGCGAUGCCACGCAUGACUAGUCUUACCAUUGCGAAAGUUUUGUGUCCAUCUGUACGUACAUAGCUGUAAAUUAUCGUUGACAAGCUGUGUCAUCCGAACAAGUCAGUAAUAGAUUGAUGGUUGUCCAUGGUCGGCUUAUCCGUAUAACAUAAAUGUCCUGCGACAGCCCUGCACAGGCGAUUGUGUAGAUCAGGUCAAGGUGCAAGAUACAAAGAGCAGUGUUUCAAGACCUAUGCUGUCGUGGCUCGAAGACUAUCUGGUACUAGUAUUCACUAAGUAGGCAUGGAAUCCUCUCGCUAUCUUUGGUGAAAGAAGCAUGUCAAAGGAUGAAGUGGAGAACUUGAGACUUUACUAGCAUAAGCCUACUAGGUAUGAGACAUCCCCAAUCAUGGAAACUUAUGGCAGCAGUUAAUAAUUAGAGGCAGUUC